CACGUAGGCGGACUACUAAGUCAGGGGUGAAAUCCCGGGGCUCAACCCCGGAACUGCCUUUGAUACUGGUAGUCUCGAGUCCGGAAGAGGUGAGUGGAAUUCCGAGUGUAGAGGUGAAAUUCGUAGAUAUUCGGAGGAACACCAGUGGCGAAGGCGGCUCACUGGUCCGGUACUGACGCUGAGGUGCGAAAGCGUGGGGAGGCAAAACA
rnacentral:rRNA from 1 species